rnacentral:rRNA from 1 species
GAUGAACGCUGGCGGCGUGCCUAAUACAUGCAAGUCGAGCGAACGGACGAGAAGCUUGCUUUUCUGAUGUUAGCGGCGGACAGGUGAGUAACACGUGGAUAACCUACCUAUAAGACUGGGAUAACUUCGGGAAACCGGAGCUAAUACCGGAUAAUAUUUUGAACCGCAUGGUUCAUAAGUGAAAGACGGUCUUGCUGUCACUUAUAGAUGGAUCCGCGCUGCAUUAGCUAGUUGGUAAGGUAACGGCUUACCAAGGCAACGAUGCAUAGCCGACCUGAGAGGGUGAUCGGCCACACUGGAACUGAGACACGGUCCAGACUCCUACGGGAGGCAGCAGUAGGGAAUCUUCCGCAAUGGGCGAAAGCCUGACGGAGCAACGCCGCGUGAGUGAUGAAGGUCUUCGGAUCGUAAAACUCUGUUAUUAGGGAAGAACAUAUGUGUAAGUAACUGUGCACAUCUUGACGGUACCUAAUCAGAAAGCCACGGCUAACUACGUG